UGCAGUCUAACUAUAAGUUUCUAAACCCUUUCCAGCUUUUUAACGGCAACUAUCUCGAAUUUAAUUGGCCAAAACUUCAUGAAUUAUUGUAUCUGUUUCAGAUGGCGAGUUUCUGUUUGUUGACCCCGACUACAAACUAUCCAAGUAUGCACCGAAAAGUUGGAGGUCCUCUUCUACCCACGGAUUGGACAGCAAUGGAAAACCUCUUCUUACUUUCCAACUCCGAGUUCAGUUCUAUGUUGAAAGUCCUCUUUUACUCAGGGAUGAAUAUUCAAGACACCUCUAUUACCUUCAACUUCGGAAAAAUGUCAUUUCACGAGGCACACUCCAUGCAAGCGCCAGUGAGGAGAUCAUCUUUCUCCUCACUGGUCUUGCGCUCCAAGCAGAUUUCGGGGAUUUCAGUGAAAUUCAGCAUACUGGACAGUAUUUUCAACCCUCGGACUAUUUUCCACCCCAUAUGCUUAGCAAUGGGAGUGAACCGAGAUUAUUUCAAACUGCUACAAACUUACAUAGGCAUAAUUGUAGUUUAUCUAAGGAAAGCGCUGAGAACGAAUUCAUCCGUGAGGCAUCCUCAGCGAGUAACUGCCCUCUUACUCACAACUCCCACCUCUAACCACCUUAAACAGAAGAAAAAUGACCCCAACCCAGGGACUGUUUCGCUGGCCAUUUCUACCACUGGUAUCAAACUCUACGAGGAUAGCCCGACCAAACCUGUUAGCGGUAACUUUUUGUGGGGCAACAUCGGAAAGCUGGGUUUCGAUAGGAAAAAAUUCGAAAUUCGAGGUUCUAAUCCAGGGCCCUCGGCUGGUGAAAAAUUAGUGUAUUAUACUAGUAGCGAUGAAAGAGCAAACAUUUGUUAA
rnacentral:lncRNA from 1 species